rnacentral:rRNA from 1 species
GACGAACGCUGGCGGCGUGCUUAACACAUGCAAGUCGAACGAAGAGCGAUGGAAGCUUGCUUCUAUCAAUCUUAGUGGCGAACGGGUGAGUAACGCGUAAUCAACCUGCCCUUCAGAGGGGGACAACAGUUGGAAACGACUGCUAAUACCGCAUACGAUCUAAUCUCGGCAUCGAGGAUAGAUGAAAGGUGGCCUCUACAUGUAAGCUAUCACUGAAGGAGGGGAUUGCGUCUGAUUAGCUAGUUGGAGGGGUAACGGCCCACCAAGGCGAUGAUCAGUAGCCGGUCUGAGAGGAUGAACGGCCACAUUGGGACUGAGACACGGCCCAGACUCCUACGGGAGGCAGCAGUGGGGAAUCUUCCGCAAGGGACGAAAGUCUGACGGAGCAACGCCGCGUGAGCGAUGACGGCCUUCGGGUUGUAAAGCUCGGUUAAUCGGGACGAAAGGCCUUCUUGCGAAUAGUGAGAAGGAUUGACGGUACCGGAAUAGAAAGCCACGGCUAACUACGUG